rnacentral:rRNA from 1 species
AUGUAUUCACUUAACGUUGAUGAUGGUGAUCGCAGCUUGCAGUUGUCUGUUACUCAGUCUCAAAGUGUUGAUGGCACUGAGCCUGUUACCCAGGCUGAGGAUGUUCCUAUGCACAAAGCUGAUGCGGAUAGUGUUGCUGUGAAAAUUGGUCCAAACAAACUUGGUGGCUCCUCUGUUCGACGGAGUCCACGAGGUUUGACAAAUAAGAAGCCUUCUUCGUCUCCUCUUCAAGAACGGUCUUUGUUGAAAGAAAAUAAGAAGCGUAAAGUUCAUCCUGCAAAGGUGAACAAAGGUGUGAAGAAGCGUGCUCGUGUUGAAGCUAAAGAUGUUGUAUCUGAAGAAAAUGAUAUUGAAGUUGAUUCAGAAGAUGAAUUUGCAGUGCCUGUUAGCGUUAUGAGUCCGGUCAAGCCGGUGGGAGGCAAUGCUGGAAAAGUUGCCUUGGAUGAAGAUUCUGAUACAAUGACUCUUGACAUGGGUGAGGCUAAUAAGAAGCUUCGCAUCACUAGCAAUGGUAUACAGCAAUUAUUUGGUUUCCCUCAUGGUGGUCGUUCUGCGCCAAAGCCGUCAGAGGACGGAUAUGACAACGCUCAGAUGAAGUUAAGAUCGGAGCUUGACAUUAGCAGGAACAAAGAUAUCAAGACAAAGGAUUUGAGGAAUAAGCUCAAGGUGCUCGUCAAGGAUCCUAGCAAAGAUGAUCUUGCUCUGAAAGUGUUCUUCAUUAUUGUGUUUAUGAAGGUUGUGUUGCCUGGUUCUGCCCCGCGUGUUUCCAGAGAGGCAGCAAUGUUUGAGGGUCUCGUCUUUGAGGACAUGGCUAAUAUGGAUUAUUGCCAGCUGAUGGUUGAUGAGCUUAGAAGGGCUGUUGCCAAGUACCGAGAUGGUGAUACCAUGGGGAAGGCAAUCACAAGCUGUGCCAUAGGGCCUGUACUAAUGUACCUUGACUGCCUUAUCCAUGGCAAGACUGCGGAGCCUGACAUGUGA